CUGAUUCUUGGCCCUCAUAAACAUUAAACAAUAUUUUUAAGUAAAACGUAACUGAAAUAUAUAAAAUCUAAAGUGUAUUCAUUAAAACCACUUAAACACAAUGUAAAUAUGCUUCGUAUAACCUGAACAUAAACAAAUCAAGUAAACGUUACUUGAUUGGAUCACAGAAGGAGCAUCUGUGCGUGCAGGAAACACUUCACCACGUGACCUCUUGAGAGUGGACUUGUCAUUCUGACCGACAGAGCGACCGAGCGUGACAAAGUUAUAAGGUACACCAUUCAAGCCAAAUCCACAAAGCAUCUUUCAUCCUGUGGCAACCUCUCAUUUUAGGUGGAGGAUGUCAAAUACACAGCCAACAUAACUAAGGUCGUCAGCAACAGAGGAGGAGCUGCUGGAAGGAAGAUCCGACUCCUCAUGGCUCCAACAGCUAA